ensembl:lncRNA
GGUCAUUGGACAGUCUAAUAAUGUGAUUUAUGACAGAGGCUUUGGGACACACCAUGUGAGUUCCAACCUCCAGAAGGGGCCGGAGACCAAAGGUCAGCCAUGUGGGCCAUAUGUGAUCAAGCUCCAGUAAAAACUCUGGACACCAAAGGCUUGGUCAUAGUGGAAAGUGUGGAGCUGCCAGGAGAGAGGAGGGGUUGCAUCAUAUGGUGACAAAAGAAUGAAUCCCACCCAGAGGAAGCAGAGCCAAGAAAUGGAUCCCUGUUGUUUGAGUCCUGGAUCAAAUCGUGCCUGGAUCCCCAGUGAGCCAAUAAAUUUUCCUUAUUGCUUCA